UACGUAGGGUGCAAGCGUUGUCCGGAAUUAUUGGGCGUAAAGAGCUCGUAGGCGGUUUGUCGCGUCUGCUGUGAAAACCCGAGGCUCAACCUCGGGCCUGCAGUGGGUACGGGCAGACUAGAGUGCGGUAGGGGAGAUUGGAAUUCCUGGUGUAGCGGUGGAAUGCGCAGAUAUCAGGGGGAACACCAAUGGCGAAGGCAGAUCUCUGGGCCGUAACUGACGCUGAGGAGCGAAAGCAUGGGGAGCGAACAGG
rnacentral:rRNA from 1 species